CAUUUGCUUUUUCUUUGUUUUUUUUUUUUUUUGCUGUUUGUUUUCUCUUCCUUUUCUUG
rnacentral:ribozyme from 1 species